rnacentral:rRNA from 1 species
AUUGAACGCUGGCGGCAGGCCUAACACAUGCAAGUCGAGCGAGCGGCGGACGGGUGAGGAAUGCCUGGGAAUGGCCCAGUCGCGGGGGAUAACAGUUGGAAACGACUGAUAAUACCGAAUAGGGCUGGCUUGCCCAGGUGGGAUUAGCUAGUUGGUGAGGUAGUGGCUCAACAAGGCGACGGUCCCUAGCUGGUCUGAGAGGAUGAUCAGCCACACUGGAACUGAGACACGGUCCAGACUCCUACGGGAGGCAGCAGUGGGGAAUAUUGCACAAUGGGCGAAACCCUGAUGCAGCCACGCCGCGUGUGUGAAGAAGGCCUUCGGGUUGUAAAGCACUUUCAGCGAGGAGGCGUUACUCGCAGAAGAAGCACCGGCUAACUCCGUGCCAGCAGCCGCGGUAAUUC